AGAUGUGAGGGAUCUGGCUGCAACAUCUGUCAUCUCAUUGAUUGCCAGGGUUGAUUCGGAUGCUCUGGCUGGCUAGGUGGAUGUCUCUGCUUCCUCCCUCACUGCUCCUUCCCAAAACUGCAUGCUUGGUCGAAGAGGAUGACCACCCAUUAGAGCACUGUUUUUCAGGUAAGGGUAUAAAGCUGCACUCCCCUCUAGAAACUCCAAACAAGCUCUCAAGGUAUGUGCUUUUAACUCUUUUCAGAAGAUACCUAAAAGGAGAAUCGCUGGGUUAAAUGGAACCUCUAGCUCUAGUU
ensembl:misc_RNA 7SK 7SK RNA